rnacentral:lncRNA from 1 species
CCAACGCAUCCAUCCCCAGAGGAACAAGCGAGGAUCUCAGAGCGCGACCUGGACAGGCUCUCACAAAAGUCACCGCGUUUGUGUAGGUAACUAAGGCCUACCGAAACCAGUCAGCCCUAAGUGCACACAGGAGAACCAUGGAGUUGGAGGAAAAGGUCCCAUACAGAGAGAAGAAACAGACAACCUGAAUCACAUUCAAAAGAGAGUCUCCACAAUAGUGAGGGCUGCAAAACCAGGUGACAUGAAAACCAAGAGAAUGAAUUACAUAGAUUUGUUUAACCUAAGGAAGAAAAGAUUCUGGACACGUGAGGGCCGAUUUUCAUUCCUCAGAGCUCUCUCCUUUGGAGGCUUCUUUGUUUGGGCCCCACUUCCAUUCUUCACAUUCAGCAGUUACUGGGAGACGACCUUACCAUGGCCUGUCCCUCCGUGUUCAUCCCAAUCGCAUCCAGAUGCCUCUCUGGCCUCAUCUCCUAGUGUUCCUGUGUCCGGAAUUGGUGGGUUCUUGGUCUCGCUAACUUCAACAAUGAAGCCUCGGACCCUGGCGAAGAGGCAGAGGAUGUUGACACAAACUUACAGACUGGGACUCCAAGGAUCAGCCAGAUGAAAUGCUAUGUGCAGAGUCUUCAUUUCCCAGCUCAGUGGUGGACAGCAGAGGACUCUAAGAUCCAGCCACCUCUUGGGAUGCACACGUUUCUCUUCAACUGCGUGAUGUGAACUGCGUCACAUGACCAUGGAAAUAAUAUCAGACAAAAAGCAGAUUAGAGCAAUUUUCUUUUUCGAGUUCAAAAUGGGUUAUAAAGCAGCGGAGACAAACCGCAACAUCACCAACGCCUUUGGCCCAGGAACUGCUAAUGAAGGUACAGUGCAGUCACUGUUCAGGAAGUUUUGCAAAGGAGACUAGAGCCUUGAAGAUGAGGAGCAUAGUGACCAGCCAUUGGAAGUCGACAAAGACCAAUUGAGAGGAAUCAUUGAAGCUGAUCAUCUUACAACUACACGAGAAGUUGUCAAAGAACGCAAUGUUGACCAUUGUGUGGUCUUUUCGCAUUUGAAGCAAAUUGGAAAGGUGAAAAACUUGAUAAGUGGGUGCCUUGUGAGCUCAGCAAAAAUCCAAAAAAAUAAUCAUUUUUAAGUGUUGUCUUCUCUUAUUCUACGCAACAACAAUAACCAUUUUGCAAUCGGAUUGUGAUGUGCAAUGAAAAGUGGAUUUGGGGCCGGGCGCGGUGGCUCACGCCUGUAAUCUCAGCACUUUGGAAGGCCAAGGCGGGCAGAUCACGAGGUCAGGAGAUCAAGACCGUCCUGGCUAACACGGUGAAACCCCGUCUCUACUGAAAAUACAAAAAAUUAGCCGGGUGUGGUGGCUGGCGCCUGUAGUCCCAGCUACAGGCUGAGGCAGGAGAAUGGCAUGAACCUGGGAGGCGGAGCUUGCAGUGAGCCGAGACCGUGCCACUGCACUCCAGCCUGGGCGACAGAGCGAUACUCCGUCAAAAAAAAAAAAAAAAAAAAAAAAAGACAAGUGGAUUUUAUAUAUGGCAACCAGCAAUGACCAGCUCAGUGGCUGGACUGAGAAGAAGCUCCAAAGCACUUCCCAAAGCCAAACUUGCACCAAAAAAAAGGUCAGGGUCACUGUUUGGUGGUCUGCUGCUGGUCUGAUCCACCGCUGCUCUCUGAAUCCUGGCAAAACCAUUACAUCUGAGAAGUAUGCUCAACAAAUCAAUGAGCUACGCCAAAAACUGCAGCAUCUGCAGCUGGCAUUGGUCAACAUAACGGGUCCAAUUCUUCUCCACGACAACGCUCAACUGCACCUUGCGCAAGCAGCGCUUCAAAAGUUGAACAAAUUGGGCUACAUAGUUUUUCCUCAUCCGCCAUAUUCACCUGACGUCUUGCCAACUAACUACCACUUCUUCAAGUAUCUCAACAACUUUUUGCAGGGAAAACACUUCCACAACCAGCAGGAUGCAGAACACGCUUUCCAAGAGUUUGUCGAAUCCUGACGCACAGAUUUUUAUGCUACAGGAAUAAACUAACUUAUUUCUCAUUGGCAAAAAUGUGUUGAUUGUAAUGGUUCCUAUUUUGAUGAAUAAAUGUGUGUUUGAGCCUAGUUAUGAUGAUUUAAAA